rnacentral:rRNA from 1 species
CUAAGUUUCAACAGCGGAUCUCUUGGCUCUCGACAUCGAAUGAAGAA